rnacentral:rRNA from 1 species
ACCCGCUGAACUUAAGCAUAUCAAUAAGCGGAGGAAAAGAAACUAACAAGGAUUCCCCUAGUAACUGCGAGUGAAGCGGGAAAAGCUCAAAUUUAAAAUCUGGUGGUCUUUGGCCAUCCGAGUUGUAAUCUAGAGAAGUGUUACCCGCGCUGGACCGUGUACAAGUCUCCUGGAAUGGAGCGUCAUAGAGGGUGAGAAUCCUGUCUUUGACACGGACUGCCAGGGCUUUGUGGUAUGCUCUCAAAGAGUCGAGUUGUUUGGGAAUGCAGCUCAAAAUGGGUGGUAAAUGCCAUCUAAAGCUAAAUAUUGGCGAGAGACCGAUAGCGAACAAGUACCGUGAGGGAAAGAUGAAAAGAACUUUGGAAAGAGAGUUAAACAGUACGUGAAAUUGCUGAAAGGGAAACGCUUGAAGUCAGUCACGCUGCGAAGAAUCAACCUUACUUUUGUUUGGUGUACUUUUUCGUUGGCGGGUCAGCAUCAGUUUUGAUUAUUGGAUAAAGGUUAUGGGAAUGUGGCAUCUUCGGAUGUGUUAUAGCCCGUGAUUGCAUACAAUGGUUGGGACUGAGGAACUCAGCACGCCGCAAGGCCGGGAUUCGUCCACGUUCGUGCUUAGGAUGCUGGCAUAAUGGCUUUAAUCGACCCGUCUUGAAACACGG